rnacentral:lncRNA from 1 species
UGGCCUGUGACCAGCCUGAUUGACUGCAGGAGGGGACCAGUCAGAGACACUCCCUACAGGGAAAGUUCAUCUAAUUAUGUGCUUAGAAGCUUCAGGGUGGAACUCUCACCCAUGAGGAGGUUGCCUGGAGAGACAACGGUCAAUCUACAACCCAAAGUAUACCUGCUAUGAAAAUGUCUCUCACUUGGAGAGUUUUGGGCACCUUUACAACCUAGUUCUGUCCAGGAAGGUGCCAGCAGUUGUCAGCUCAACCACCCAGCAGAUAAGGCACUGAAGAGAGUUAUGUGGACCCCCACCUGCUCACUUUCUUCCCUGUGUGCCAUUCAUGUCAAGCCCCCUUUAAAAAGUGUCUGCGUUCUGCCUCCAAAAGCAAAGUGGUACCCUUAAGGCAGGAAGCUUAUUCCCCUAAGCUGGCUUUGGAAUAAAAAGUCACUUUCUUUAUACCA